rnacentral:lncRNA from 1 species
UGGGGUGGGGUGGGGGGCUGCUAUCUUUGGAAAUACAAUCUUCCAUAAUCUGACAAAGCUCUCCAUUUGCUUCUUGUGAGUGGCCCCGUUUAUUCAACUAUCCUCAAUAAUAACAGCCACUGGAGGAACUUCCUGAGGGUAGGAGUCUGGCCUGUUACUCGUAUCUUUAGAUCCUAAGCAUUUGCACAGUAAAAGGCCCCCAAUAGAUACCUGUGGAAGGAAGAACUCUUUUUAAAGCCUAUCAUCUCUUUUUCACAUGCACUGCAUUGUUUGAUCCAAAACCAGCCAUCAGGACCACUUGCAGCUGAAGAAAUUGAGGCUUAGAGGACUCCGUGGGCUACCCCAGGUGACUCAGCGAGCAGGAGCUCAGCUGUGACAUGAACCCAGGUCUUCUGCGUUGAUGCUACUUUUAUUAAGAACUUGAUGCCUCCAAACAGCAAAUAAAAUUCCUAGGGGCUUCAGGGCCCCUGCCUCCUUCAUCCUCAUAGCAGCACAGGGCCAACUACGGGGCCAUGGACAGAGAUCCCUCAGCUGCUUACUGACCGGUCCUGCAUUUGAUACACCAAUUUAACAUGAUGAUUUAAUAUGAUUUUGCAUCUCUUUUCUCGUGGGAGCAGUCAAGGGCUAGGACACGGACCCUCAUGCCACAUGCAGCUUCAGGCUGGGUAGAAGGCCAGGAUGAAGUUGUUUCUCCUCUCUCUGUGCUGGCAAUGAGCAGGCAGCACCCACGUCAGAAGCGUGAGAAAUGUCCACGGGCCAGCCGUUUCUUUCACAGAGAUUGCAGAUCAGGAAGGACCUUUGGAAACCACAGUUUCCGCUUCCGCCAUAGGGGCAGAAGGGAUGGGGCAGCCUAACCCCUUGAGCCUGGGAAGUAACAAAGAGGACCGAAGCUAGAGUCCACCACAACAUCACAGGACACGUCUUGGACCUCUUUGAGAACCAUCUGCUCUUUUGAGAACUGAGAAGCAAAGACCACCAAUCACAAAGUAGAGCAUACAACCCCCUUCAGGAGCCAGAGACCGGAACUCAAUUCCUGCUUUAUUGGUGAGCUUCUUCCUUUUGGACCCGUAUCUAGGCCUUUCAAUUCCUGCUUAGGGAGACCCACUGAACUCACUUCUUGAGGGACAUGGCUCUCCCUCGCCUGUUAAGCAAUAAACCCAGCUUCCCCACCGC